UUAAGCGACUAAGCGUACACGGUGGAUGCCCUGGCAGUCAGAGGCGAUGAAGGACGUGCUAAUCUGCGAAAAGCGUCGGUAAGGUGAUAUGAACCGUUAUAACCGGCGAUGUCCGAAUGGGGAAACCCAGUGCAAUUCGUUGCACUAUCGUUAACUGAAUACAUAGGUUAACGAGGCGAACCGGGGGAACUGAAACAUCUAAGUACCCCGAGGAAAAGAAAUCAACCGAGAUUCCCCCAGUAGCGGCGAGCGAACGGGGAGCAGCCCAGAGUCUGAAUCAGCUUGUGUGUUAGUGGAACGGUCUGGAAAGUCCGACGGUACAGGGUGAUAGUCCCGUACACCAAAAUGCACAGGCUGUGAACUCGAAGAGUAGGGCGGGACACGUGGUAUCCUGUCUGAAUAUGGGGGGACCAUCCUCCAAGGCUAAAUACUCCUGACUGACCGAUAGUGAACCAGUACCGUGAGGGAAAGGCGAAAAGAACCCCGGCGAGGGGAGUGAAAAAGAACCUGAAACCGUGUACGUACAAGCAGUGGGAGCACCUUCGGGUGUGACUGCGUACCUUUUGUAUAAUGGGUCAGCGACUUAUAUUCUGUAGCAAGGUUAACCGUAUAGGGGAGCCGCAGGGAAACCGAGUCUUAACUGGGCGUUAAGUUGCAGGGUAUAGACCCGAAACCCGGUGAUCUAGCCAUGGGCAGGUUGAAGGUUGGGUAACACUAACUGGAGGACCGAACCGACUAAUGUUGAAAAAUUAGCGGAUGACUUGUGGCUGGGGGUGAAAGGCCAAUCAAACCGGGAGAUAGCUGGUUCUCCCCGAAAGCUAUUUAGGUAGCGCCUCGUGAAUUCAUCUUCGGGGGUAGAGCACUGUUUCGGCUAGGGGGGCAUCCCGACUUACCAACCCGAUGCAAACUACGAAUACCGAAGAAUGUUAUCACGGGAGACACACGGCGGGUGCUAACGUCCGUCGUGAAGAGGGAAACAACCCAGACCGCCAGCUAAGGUCCCAAAGUCAUGGUUAAGUGGGAAACGAUGUGGGAAGGCACAGACAGCCAGGAUGUUGGCUUAGAAGCAGCCAUCAUUUAAAGAAAGCGUAAUAGCUCACUGGUCGAGUCGGCCUGCGCGGAAGAUGUAACGGGGCUAAACCAUGCACCGAAGCUGCGGCAGCGACACUAUGUGUUGUUGGGUAGGGGAGCGUUCUGUAAGCCUGCGAAGGUGACCUGUGAGGGUUGCUGGAGGUAUCAGAAGUGCGAAUGCUGACAUAAGUAACGAUAAAGCGGGUGAAAAGCCCGCUCGCCGGAAGACCAAGGGUUCCUGUCCAACGUUAAUCGGGGCAGGGUGAGUCGACCCCUAAGGCGAGGCCGAAAGGCGUAGUCGAUGGGAAACAGGUUAAUAUUCCUGUACUUGGUGUUACUGCGAAGGGGGGACGGAGAAGGCUAUGUUAGCCGGGCGACGGUUGUCCCGGUUUAAGCAUGUAGGCUGGUUAUCCAGGCAAAUCCGGAUAAUCAAGGCUGAGGUGUGAUGACGAGGCACUACGGUGCUGAAGUAACAAAUGCCCUGCUUCCAGGAAAAGUCUCUAAGCAUCAGGUAACAUCAAAUCGUACCCCAAACCGACACAGGUGGUCAGGUAGAGAAUACCAAGGCGCUUGAGAGAACUCGGGUGAAGGAACUAGGCAAAAUGGUGCCGUAACUUCGGGAGAAGGCACGCUGGUGUGUAGGUGAAGCCCCUGCGGGUGGAGCUGAGACCAGUCGAAGAUACCAGCUGGCUGCAACUGUUUAUUAAAAACACAGCACUGUGCAAACACGAAAGUGGACGUAUACGGUGUGACGCCUGCCCGGUGCCGGAAGGUUAAUUGAUGGGGUUAUCCGUAAGGAGAAGCUCUUGAUCGAAGCCCCGGUAAACGGCGGCCGUAACUAUAACGGUCCUAAGGUAGCGAAAUUCCUUGUCGGGUAAGUUCCGACCUGCACGAAUGGCGUAAUGAUGGCCAGGCUGUCUCCACCCGAGACUCAGUGAAAUUGAACUCGCUGUGAAGAUGCAGUGUACCCGCGGCAAGACGGAAAGACCCCGUGAACCUUUACUAUAGCUUGACACUGAACAUUGAGCCUUGAUGUGUAGGAUAGGUGGGAGGCUUUGAAGCGUGGACGCCAGUCUGCGUGGAGCCAACCUUGAAAUACCACCCUUUAAUGUUUGAUGUUCUAACGUUGGCCCCUGACCGGGGUUGCGGACAGUGUCUGGUGGGUAGUUUGACUGGGGCGGUCUCCUCCCAAAGCGUAACGGAGGAGCACGAAGGUUAGCUAAUCCUGGUCGGACAUCAGGAGGUUAGUGCAAUGGCAUAAGCUAGCUUGACUGCGAGCGUGACGGCGCGAGCAGGUGCGAAAGCAGGUCAUAGUGAUCCGGUGGUUCUGAAUGGAAGGGCCAUCGCUCAACGGAUAAAAGGUACUCCGGGGAUAACAGGCUGAUACCGCCCAAGAGUUCAUAUCGACGGCGGUGUUUGGCACCUCGAUGUCGGCUCAUCACAUCCUGGGGCUGAAGUAGGUCCCAAGGGUAUGGCUGUUCGCCAUUUAAAGUGGUACGCGAGCUGGGUUUAGAACGUCGUGAGACAGUUCGGUCCCUAUCUGCCGUGGGCGCUGGAGAAUUGAGGGGGGCUGCUCCUAGUACGAGAGGACCGGAGUGGACGCAUCACUGGUGUUCGGGUUGUCAUGCCAAUGGCACUGCCCGGUAGCUAAAUGCGGAAGAGAUAAGUGCUGAAAGCAUCUAAGCACGAAACUUGCCCCGAGAUGAGUUCUCCCUGAGACUAUAAGUCUCCUGAAGGAACGUUAAAGACGAUGACGUUGAUAGGCCGGGUGUGUAAGCGCAGCGAUGCGUUGAGCUAACCGGUACUAAUGAACCGUGAGGCUUAACCUU
rnacentral:rRNA from 1 species